UACGAAGGGAGCUAGCGUUGUUCGGAAUCACUGGGCGUAAAGCGCACGUAGGCGGAUGUGUCAGUCAGGGGUGAAAUCCCGGAGCUCAACUUCGGAACUGCCCUUGAUACAGCACGUCUUGAGUCCGGAAGAGGUGGGUGGAAUUCCUAGUGUAGAGGUGAAAUUCGUAGAUAUUAGGAAGAACACCGGUGGCGAAGGCGGCCCACUGGUCCGGUACUGACGCUGAGACGCGAAAGCGUGGGGAGCAAACAGG
rnacentral:rRNA from 1 species